CCAUUCUGAAGGGCUAAGUGGGGGAAGGGAACCCGUGAACCCCCAUUUGUGUCUGUGUUUAUAGUUAGUCCAUGCAGAGAAAGUAAAAUAGUUUUUCUUUAAACUUGUGGAGUUAUGGUGCUGAAGAAUCCAGUUGUGGAAAAUUGGUUUUCACACAAUACUACAUAGCACACUUAAAUACACCUAUGGAACACUGAGGCGGUAAACACAGAGCCCAAAAUGAUGUAGUCUGAUGUGAGGC